rnacentral:rRNA from 1 species
CCCUAUGGGGCGCAAAAAUCGCAUCAGGCGGUCCCGGAGAAUCGACAGCAAGUGGCUCCACUACCCUACGAGGCGGGUCAGCGGGAUAUUUCACAGGAAACGGCACGGCUGGCGGCUAUCUUGGGGGAGUACUACCCACGCUUUUCCUUACCGGCAAACCGGAUGCUGUAGUGGCAACUGUUGGCAAGGAAGUAGGUAGUCCGGGGAUAUUGCCGCCAGGAAUGCCAAUAGGUUUGAUUGAUCUUUUUUUACAUCCUAUGGUUGGUGGUCCUGGUGGAGAUAUCCAAACUGCUACGUCAGGCGUUAGCGUAACAGGUGGAACUGGUUCUGUUUAUGGGAAAGGUGGCGCCGCCACCUCAACGAGUAAUGGAAAUGGAAUGGGCGGGAGGGC